rnacentral:rRNA from 1 species
UGGGGAAUAUUGCGCAAUGGACGAAAGUCUGACGCAGCGACGCCGCGUGUGGGAUGAAGCUCUUCGGGGUGUAAACCACUGUUGCCAGGGAAGAAACUCUUGAUUCGUCAAGACUGACGGUACCUGGUGAGGAAGCACCGGCUAACUCUGUGCCAGCAGCCGCGGUAAUACAGAGGGUGCGAGCGUUGUCCGGAAUCACUGGGCGUAAAGGGCGCGUAGGUGGCGGGAUAAGUGUGUGGUGAAAGCUCGGGGCUCAACCCCGAGUCUGCCAUGCAGACUGUCUUGCUCGAGCGUAGUAGAGGCAGGUGGAAUUCCGGGUGUAGCGGUGGAAUGCGUAGAGAUCCGGAAGAACAUCGGUGGCGAAGGCGGCCUGCUGGGCUACUGCUGACACUGAGGCGCGACAGCGUGGGGAGCAAACAGGAUUAGAUACCCUGGUAGUCCACGCCGUAAACGAUGGGUACUAGGUGUCUGGGGGAACGACCCCCUGGGUGCCGGCGCUAACGCAUGAAGUACCCCGCCUGGGGAGUACGGCCGCAAGGCUG